UAAAAAUAAAAAUAGUCAAAAAAUCAAAAUAAUUAAAAAAUUCAAAACGUUGAACAAUUAGGCGUUCAAAAUUAGACCCUAAAGGUCGCAAUUCUGAGAAGUGGUGACUGCGGAACGAAGUUCGCAAUUUAAAGGCCAAUUUAUUAAUGAUACCACAGGAAAAUUAUUACCUAUCAAAUAGGCUGCCCUUUACAAAAAUAAUGGAUUUAAAGAAUUUUGAUGAAGAGUUAAAAUUGAAGUCUAAAAUGGUGUCAGAAUUCAAACGUCUUAUCUUUAGGCUUGGAGGAGGGUAGUUAUCUCCUCCAAGCCUUAAGAUCUUUAUUCGAGUUAUAAUCAAAAAACUAUUAUGUGAUGAUUUGGCAAUGGAGAUCUAAUACAGAAACAAAGAACAAACCUAGCAUCCAAAA
rnacentral:sRNA from 14 species